UACAGAGGUCUCAAGCGUUGUUCGGAUUCAUUGGGCGUAAAGGGUGCGUAGGCGGCGCGGUAAGUCGGGUGUGAAAUCUCGGAGCUUAACUCCGAAACUGCAUUCGAUACUGCCGUGCUUGAGGACUGGAGAAGAGACUGGAAUUUACGGUGUAGCGGUGAAAUGCGUAGAUAUCUGGAGGAACACCGGUGGCGAAGGCGGCAUCCUGGACCAAUUCUGACACUGAGGAGCGAAAGCCAGGGGAGCAAACGGG
rnacentral:rRNA from 1 species